UAUCCGGAUAUGAGUCAGCUUAACAGAAAAACAGCAUACUCAUCUAAAAUAAAUUACACGGAAACUAACGGAAACUUCCGAUACGCACAAUCCAAUCUUACAGAAAGCAAAUUUAUAGCUUUCCAACCGCUUGGUCAAUUCUUUAAAGAAACAUCAGUGAGAAAUAGGGACGAUGUAUUUUUGGAGUAUCCAGGAGUCUUCAAAAUGCGAUCGUGUCUAAAAACAGGCCACCUUCAAAAAAUAGAAGCUCUGUUUCAAUGUUUACCCUAGUAACCAUUGACGAUCGUGGUUUGAUGAUGUGUUUGUUAAGUAGGCGGUCUUUCCUUAAUGAGUUUGUAAUGAGUGGUUAAUGUCAGUUUUAUUAGCGCGGGUCGGUUGUUGAGAAUGAAAGGUUUCCGGUGAUGUCAGGUAGAUGUGAGACACCUUUUGCCGUUCACACGCGGCUGAUGGUAUAAAAGGGACCCUGAGAUUGAGUUGUCCAAAAACCAGACCAGCGGGCGCCAGCGAGACAACCAGACCGUCUACACUUCUCUACAAGUCUCUACUUCUGUGCACUCCGAAAAAAGACAUGGCGACAACCCGAAUCUUCACAGUCGGCCUUCUGGCGUGUAUUGCGUUUGUUGGGGCUCUUCGUUGCGCAAGCGCUGCCGCCAUACCAGAUGACGCAACUUCCGGUACGAAUGCUCUACUACAGCUGCGCCAAGCGCUGCACCUGAUUGGUCAACAGCUGGAUAGGAUGGCCACUGCGCAGGUCAACCAAGAAGUGCCGGCGGAGGGAUACGAAGAAGGCCACGAAGGGCGAACAGUCACCGAAGAUCCCUACGUCAUCUUCCGACCAGGAUGGGGAAAGUAAUCCCCCAACCGACGUGAACGACUAGCAUAGAGACAGGACUGACCAAUAACCAUCACGGCACUUAAAUUGAUUAAAAGAUUGCAAUAAAAAAAUGUAACACUUGACGAUUAAAGGACAUGCAGAAGUAACUCA